rnacentral:rRNA from 1 species
UACGAAGGGGGCUAGCGUUGCUCGGAAUGACUGGGCGUAAAGGCGCGUAGGCGGAUGGCACAGUCAGAUGUGAAAUUCCUGGGCUUAACCUGGGGGCUGCAUUUGAUACGUGUGGGCUUGAGUGCGGAAGAGGGUCGUGGAAUUCCCAGUGUAGAGGUGAAAUUCGUAGAUAUUGGGAAGAACACCGGUGGCGAAGGCGGCGACCUGGUCCGUGACUGACGCUGAGGCGCGAAAGCGUGGGGAGCAAACAGG